UACGUAGGGUGCAAGCGUUGUCCGGAAUUAUUGGGCGUAAAGAGCUCGUAGGCGGUUUUGUCGCGUCUGCUGUGAAAUCCCAGGGCUUAACCCUGGGCCUGCAGUGGGUACGGGCAAACUAGAGUGCGGUAGGGGAGAUCGGAAUUCCUGGUGUAGCGGUGAAAUGCGCAGAUAUCAGGAGGAACACCGGUGGCGAAGGCGGAUCUCUGGGCCGUAACUGACGCUGAGGAGCGAAAGCAUGGGUAGCGAACAGG
rnacentral:rRNA from 1 species